rnacentral:miRNA from 1 species
AGCCUGGGUCUUCAGUUUUCUCC